CUAGUGGUAAAGCUUGAGGGUUUACGUUUUCCAGAUUUCCACAGUGUUAAAAAGUGUUCUGUAACUCCUGUGUAGAUUCAUUUCUCCCCUGGCUUUGGGAAGUGCGAUUACUGAACUAAAAAGUCACCGCAUCUUUCUCUGGCAACCAGAGGGUAUAAAUACUGAACUGGGGGAGAGGCAUUUAAUCGGUUCAAUGUGUUCAUGCACUUUAAAAAGUAUGAUCAGUUUCUUUUCAUUAUUGGAAUGUGGGGACGAAAGCGCUGCUGUGGGCGGGCUCACCUUUUCGUUUGGCAAACAAGGAAACUGACACGAAGACGAGGCCGGGCGAAGCGGCUCGUCUCCACUCCCCAGGGCUCGGCCCCAGACUCUCAGCUCGUGUCCGCAGCGUUCCUCGGCGGAUGUAGGUGUUCUCCUCGUGGGGGCCUUCGGGGAGCCAUCGGCUCAGGAAAAGCUCAUCUCAGGAACGUUCCCAGGUUGUUCUCAUCUCUGAUCAACAUGCCCUUUUCGCGUGGACACUUCUUCUGGGCAGUGGCCCAGGAGACCACCACCGGGAUCCUGCCGAGAUGGCCUGGCCCCAGCUUCGAUGACCAAGAUUCGCCCAAAGAAGAAUGCAUGUCUGUCCCAAUGCCCAUCCUUAUCUGAAACCCCGCUUUUCUCCUUUUUACUGUCAAACUCCCCGCAAUCCUCCCCCGUGGAAGCACAGUCUCUAAGGCAUGAGCCUGCUAGGGCCUCCUUUGCCUGGCAAAGCAAUAAAAACUAUCUUUUCUCCUUCCUCCAA